GCAGAUUCAGCUUCUACUGAGUGACAACCCAGAGGCAGAAGAGGUUAUGAACAUAUUGCUCAACACCAUAAAGAAAAUCCUAGGUGUGUUCAUGACCUCUGCACCACCCUGAUGAAAGUACCUGGCAUGAGUCUUAUCACUUGUGGGCAAUGUCUUAUUUGCUUUGUGUCCCCAGUGCCUAGCAUGGUAGACCCAGUAAAUGUUGGUGAAACCCAGCAGCAUCUCCUCGAGCUCUCUAAGAAGGAUUAGAUCAUUCCAGAGCCACAAUGAGCAUGAGCAGUAUAGACCUUCACUGAAGAUUUCACAGCAAAGAUAAAAGAAAGAUUCUACAUUGUAUAUCCUACAACAAAU